ACCCUAGAUAGGAGGACCUGCGCCACAUGGAGUCAUAGCUUCAGUGAUUUUGGUUUUCACGGGCUAUGGUUUCCACAAUAUUGGCGCAUUGGCAACUUUUAUGGUUUCCCCACGCAGUACAGAGCCGGGGCUCGUUGUGAGAACUCGUUGGUUUACGCUCCUGCGCUCUCUUCGUCAUUUAGUUGUUGGAAUGCCUCCAAAACGAGAGAGAUACCUAUCCAAGGAGGAUCUAGAACGUUAUGUGAACUCUGAGGACUUCAAUAAAACAGUUGACAUUACAACAGAGGGCAUAAGUGACGAUGGGAGUGCUGAUGAGAGUGUGUGCUCUCGUCGUCAUUUGUAAGUAUUAGUGUAUCCAAAUGGCUCAGGUCCUCCUUUCCCAUUAUAGUUUUGUAAAGAAGAAGUGCUACGUCAGAUGUCAUUGUGGCAAAUGUUUGUAACACCAACACAACAACAGCAGGGAUGUAAAUCCUCCAGCAGGACCACGGACCAAGAAGAGGUGCAGUUUGUGCCCAUGGAAAACAGCCAGCCAGACAAGGACCGUCUGCUCCAUGUGUCAGAAACCUGUCUGCCCACACCACUCAAAUAUUGUCUGCCUUGAGUGCAACGAGUAAACUAGCAGGUGGCCUGAUUUAUCUACACUCCAGAGUUGAAAGACGGACUGAGUGGUCGUAUAAACCUUUAACUUUAUAGUUUAGUAGGAUUUUUUUGUUCAAUUUAAUAUUUCUAUGCCUCAGGGCCAGAAGGAGUCAGUCUUUAAUUUUUUCUCAAAGUUUUUUUCAAUUAAUUACGAACUGUAUUUAUUUUCAUUUACUCCUAUUCAUUUAUACCCCUAAGGUUUCCAGAUACCUUAUAUUUGUACCUCAACAACGUUUACUGAGAAUAAAAAAUGUUUGCAUAAUUUAUUUUAUUAUUUUCCCUCAGUGAUGCCAAAUGGA